CAAUAGCGUAUAUUUAAGUUGUUGCAGUUAAAAAGCUCGUAGUUGGAUUUCGGAUGGGACUUGCCGGUCCGUCGUUUCGAUGUGCACUGGCCAGUACUAUCUUGUUGUCGGGGACUAGCUCCUGGGCUUCACUGUCCGGGACUAGGAGCUGACGAGGUUACUUUGAGUAAAUUAGAGUGUUCAAAGCAAGCCUACGCUCUGAAUACAUUAGCAUGGAAUAACACGAUAGGACUCUGGCUUAUCUUGUUGGUCUGUGAGACCAGAGUAAUGAUUAAGAGGGACAGUCGGGGGCAUUCGUAUUUCAUUGUCAGAGGUGAAAUUCUUGGAUUUAUGAAAGACGAACUUCUGCGAAAGCAUUUGUCAAGGAUGUUUUCAUUAA
rnacentral:rRNA from 1 species